rnacentral:rRNA from 1 species
AUGGUGGGGUAUCGGCCUACCAAGACAACGAUCAGUAGCCGGCCUGAGAGGGUGGCCGGCCACAGUUGGAAUGAGACACGGGCCAGCAUCGUACGGGAGACAGCAGCGGGGAAUCUUCCGCAAUGGGCGCAAGCCUGACGGAGCAACGCGGCGGGAACGAAGAAGGCCUUCGGGUCGUAAAGUUAUGUGUCUAGGGAAGAAGGCUUUUGGUGUAAAUAAUGCCAGGAGAUGACGGUACCUUAGGAGGAAGCUCCGGCUAAAUACGUGCCCGCAGCCGCGGUAAUAAGUAGGGAGCCAGCGUUGUCCGGAAUUAAUGGGGGUAAAGGGGGGGUAGGGGGGGGUUUAAAUUAGAUGUGAAAAUUCCGGGCUUAAAUUCGAGAUUGCAUUUGAAAAUAGAUGUUUUGAGGGCAGGAGAGGAAAGUGGAAUUCCUAGUGUAGCGGUGAAAUGGGUAGAUAUUAGGAGGAACCCCCGUGGGGAAGGGGACCUUGUGGAUCGUACCUGACACUGAGGCGCGAAAGGGUGGGUAGCGAACGGGAUUAGAUACCCCGGUAGUUCACGCCGUAAACGAUGAAUUCUAGGUGUAGGAGGUAUCGACCCCUUCGGUGCCGCAGCAAACGC